rnacentral:rRNA from 1 species
GGGAAUCUACCUUUUGCUACGGAAUAACUCAGGGAAACUUGUGCUAAUACCGUAUGUGCCCUUCGGGGGAAAGAUUUAUCGGCAAAGGAUGAGCCCGCGUUGGAUUAGGUAGUUGGUGGGGUAAUGGCCUACCAAGCCGACGAUCCAUAGCUGGUCUGAGAGGAUGAUCAGCCACAUUGGGACUGAGACACGGCCCAAACUCCUACGGGAGGCAGCAGUGGGGAAUAUUGGACAAUGGGCGCAAGCCUGAUCCAGCCAUGCCGCGUGAGUGAUGAAGGCCCUAGGGUUGUAAAGCUCUUUCACCGGUGAAGAUAAUGACGGUAACCGGAGAAGAAGCCCCGGCUAACUUCGUGCCAGCAGCCGCGGUAAUACGAAGGGGGCUAGCGUUGUUCGGAAUUACUGGGCGUAAAGCGCACGUAGGCGGAUACUUAAGUUAGGGGUGAAAUCCCAGGGCUCAACCCUGGAACUGCCUCUAAUACUGGGUAUCUUGAGUUCGAGAGAGGUGAGUGGAAUUCCGAGU